rnacentral:RNase_P_RNA from 1 species
GAGGAAAGUCCGGGCUCUAUUUAUAAUUAUAUAGCUUUAUAAAAUACAGUAUAGGUAACUAUAAGGAUCGUGCCACAGAAAUAUACCGCCUACAAUAUAUAUAGGUAAGGGUGCAAUGGUUCGGUAAGAGCGUACCAGAGAUAUUAUUAAAGUAUUUGCUAGGUAAACCCCAUAUUUGAGCAAAGAGAUUAGUUAGACUAUCUUAGUACAAUCGUUAUAAGUUUUAUAUAUUAUUUAUUUUACUAAUCAUUGAUACUGCAUAAAGUAAUUGAUGUUACUUGAGAUUAAUAAUUACCCUUUUCAUUUUAGAGCAGUACAAUUUUUUUUGAAAAGAACCAAACCCGGCUUAU